UACAUGGGGUGCAAACGUUGCUCGGAAUUAUUGGGCGUAAAGCGCACGUAGGCGGUUCGUUAAGUCGGAUGUGAAAGCCCUCGGCUCAACUGAGGAAGUGCACCCGAAACUGGCGAGCUUGAGUACGAAAGAGGAUCGCGGAAUUCCCGGUGUAGAGGUGAAAUUCGUAGAUAUCGGGAGGAACACCGGGUGGCGAAGGCGGCGAUCUGGGUCGAUACUGACGCGUGAGGUGCGAAAAGCGUGGGGAGCGAACAGG
rnacentral:rRNA from 1 species